GACGAACGCUGGCGGCGUGCCUAAUACAUGCAAGUCGAACGAACCGCGACUAGGUGCUUGCACUUGGUCAAGGUGAGUGGCGAACGGGUGAGUAACACGUGGGUAACCUACCUCAUAGUGGGGGAUAACAGUCGGAAACGACUGCUAAUACCGCAUAGGACAUAGGAUCACAUGAUCCAGUGAGGAAAGGUGGCGCAAGCUAUCGCUAAGAGAUGGACCCGCGGUGCAUUAGCUAGUUGGUAGGGUAAAGGCCUACCAAGGCGAUGAUGCAUAGCCGACCUGAGAGGGUGAUCGGCCACAUUGGGACUGAGACACGGCCCAAACUCCUACGGGAGGCAGCAGUAGGGAAUCUUCCGCAAUGGACGCAAGUCUGACGGAGCAACGCCGCGUGAGUGAAGAAGGUCGUCGGAUCGUAAAGCUCUGUUGUUAGAGAAGAACAGCGCAUAGAGUAACUGUUAUGCGUGUGACAGUAGCUAACCAGAAAGCCACGGCUAACUACGUG
rnacentral:rRNA from 1 species